rnacentral:rRNA from 1 species
GGUUAAUACCCUGAGUAGAUGACGGUACCCGAAUAAGAAGCACCGGCUAACUACGUGCCAGCAGCCGCGGUAAUACGUAGGGUGCGAGCGUUAAUCGGAAUUACUGGGCGUAAAGCGUGCGCAGGCGGUUUUGUAAGUCAGAUGUGAAAGCCCCGGGCUCAACCUGGGAACUGCAUUUGAGACUGCAAGACUGGAGUUUGGCAGAGGGGGGUGGAAUUCCACGUGUAGCAGUGAAAUGCGUAGAGAUGUGGAGGAACACCGAUGGCGAAGGCAGCCCCCUGGGCCAAUACUGACGCUCAUGCACGAAAGCGUGGGGAGCAAACAGGAUUAGAUACCCUGGUAGUCCACGCCCUAAACGAUGUCAACUAGAUGUUGGGAGGGUUAAACCUUUUAGUGCCGUAGCUAACA